CCGUUUAAGAAAAAAUUGAGAUCUUCUAACAAAAACGAGGAACUCACCUCCGUGGAUGCUUGAUUUCGAGUGUUUGAAGGCUUUCUGAGGAAACUUAUUCGAUUUGGGAUUUGGAGUUUUUGGCACUAAUCAGGAGUAGAGUUGAGUGGCGGAUAGUUUAGCAAGGAUCGUUGGCAAUCGCCGAUUAAUUAGCUUGUGAUAUGUCUCGUUUAUUGUGGGCAUUUGAAUAAGUUUGUAUUGUUUUUGUAAACCACUUAGUUUGUUUCUUUAUUCUAUUUUGGAUUAGGUUUUGAGGCCUUGUAUGACUACUUAGUUUCGGCCUUGUAGGUGUAAGGUCGUUUUUGUCGGUGUCCCGGGUCCGUUGAGUCAAGUUCGGGGUGUGACACAAAAAAACAGUAAAAGACAAUAAGAAACAACAAACCCAAAAAAACAAACUUCUGAGACCGUCCACCGAGGCUGGAACAAGAAUCAAAACAAAACACACCACCAUGAGUGGAGAACAGAAGAAGCUAGUAAAAGGAAAACCACGAGGCGAAUAUAGCUGAAAGAGUCCGAACACUGCCAUGCAACGGACCCUAAAGCAUCAAGUAGGUGGCUGUACUAGCCGGCGACACCAUC